GCGUCAGUGGUUUAGUGGUAGAGUCCAUCGUUGCCAUUUGGUGCGCAAGCAUCAGGUGUCCAAUAUUCGGUGGGCCCCGCGUUCGAUUCGCGGCUGACGCA